GAUGAACGCUGCCAGAAUGCUUAACACAUGCAAGUCUUUGGCGAAUCUGUGCUUGCACAGGCUAGCCAAGGCGGACGGGUGAGUAACGCGUAAAGAACUUGCCCUGCAGACAGGGAUAACAGACGGAAACGACUGAUAACACCUGAUACAGUUGCCGGCACGCAUGUGCCUGGCAAUGAAAAGAGAUGCUGCAGGAGAGCUUUGCGUCCUAUUAGCUUGUUGGUGAGGUGACGGCUCACCAAGGCGAUGAUAGGUAGCCGGCCUGAGAGGGUGAACGGCCACAAGGGGACUGAGAUACGGCCCUUACUCCUACGGGAGGCAGCAGUGGGGAAUAUUGGACAAUGGGGGCAACCCUGAUCCAGCAAUUCUGUGUGCACGAAGAAGGUUUUCGGAGUGUAAAGUGCUUUCAGCAGGGAAGAAGAAAGUGACGGUACCUGCAGAAGAAGCGACGGCUAAAUACGUG
rnacentral:rRNA from 1 species